rnacentral:rRNA from 1 species
CGGGCAGGUGGUCCGUUAAGUCGUUUGUGAAAAUCCGGGGCUCAAACCCCGUGAAAUGCAGACGAUACUGGCGGGCUGGAGAUCGGUAGAGGCUAGCGGAAUUCCUGGUGUAGCGGUGGAAUGCGUAGAUAUCAGGAAGAACACCCGUGGCGAAGGCGGCUAGCUGGGCCGAGUCUGACACUCAUCCGCGAAAGCGUGGGGAGCAAACA